AUGGUCGACUGUCUCCCAGUGUUCCAGUUGCCUGUUGAAAAGGCGCUGAGAUCUCUCGCGCCACGACUCACUGAGCCAGCUAAUACAGCAGUGCUGAUAUUCCUGGUGGUUUUUUUGCCGAGGAAUCUCCUGGCCUGGCUCGCUAUUUCAGAUGAAUGGGCGACUCUGCCAUCUCAGGGCUCCUAUCGCCAGCUAAGAGGGCACCCAGACCAGUGUCUUUUGUACGGAGAACCGCAGCGCCAGGGCUCAGGCAAAGCAGCUGUGUGGGCCGAAACAGCCGUGCUGGCGACCCAUGGGGCUCCUCUGCCUGGGAAUCUCCUGGCAUUUUAUGCUCACACUAGCAGCUUCCUUUAUUAUUAUUAUAAAAAUGAAAGGAUUUCUACCUGCCUUCGCCUGCAGCUAGGGGAAGGCCCCAGAUCAGGAUAGCAGAGUUUCCUCAGACGAGAAGUGGUGCCCCUUGCAUACUGCUCAGAGAAUUCUCAGCAGCACAGAUCCACUUCAAGGAAACACUGACUUGAAAACUCUCCCCCAUGGUUUUGUCUGAACUGGCUGCCAUUCUGCAGCAUACACCAGAUCCAAUUGCUGGAGUCAGGGAACCCGAGAGAUACACUGCCUCUAGGACUGGGACAGAUAGCCACUGAGAACCUGCUUCAAAUCACCUUGCACAUUUUCUUGUUGGAAAGAUAACCACUGGAGAACCAUCUCGUUACCUUCAGCAAAAGCGGAAAGCAAUCAAGACAUUUAGAAUGCCACGGCAGACAGCAGUGGUUCAGCAGAGGAAGUUUACAAGAUGGUGUGCCACACUAGCUAGAAAUCAGAAAAGAUCGAAGUUAGCCUUUUUAUCUCAGCUGCUCCUUAAAUCAGUGCAACCCCUCCAAAUUAAUGUGAAUUAAAACAUGCAUUGCCUUUCAACUUAAUUCAGUACUUACUAUGUGUGAACCACUGUACAAAAUAGGGGAAGAAAAUGAGGGCAACAAAGAUGUGGGGCCUGUCCUCAAUAAAUUUAGAGUUAGUUUCAGGGUACAUUUUUUUUUCUUUUGCUGUUGAUUAGGUCUAUCCCUAAGACAAGAAAUAAAUGAAUGGAAAAGUAUAUUCUGUAAGUGUUUCAAAUCUCUUUAAUAAAAAACAAAACAAAACAAAACCUCAAAACUCCUAACAUGGGCAACUCGGGACAUUUUAAUCCCCCUUUUUUUGUUGGACUUCUGAUAAGAUCCAUUUUAUUGAUUCCAUAAAUAUUCAGUAGACUUUAGAGAUAUUAAUACAAUUAUAGUUUGAGUUAAUUUGCAUUAAAUUCUAUUUUCUCCUCUUAGGUAUAGAUUGUCUGUUGGAAAAAUAUAUUGUUUGUGGAUUUCUUGGGGAGUGGGGAGGUGAAUUUUACCUGUUGUCUCUAUAGUCCGCUACCUUCCAUGCCCCCUAGGGCAGCGGUACCCAACCUUCUUGGCACCAGGGACCAGGUUCCUGAAAGACAGUUUUUCCACUGAUGGUGUGGGGGGUGGUUUUGGGGUGAAACUGUUCCACCUCAGCUCAUCAGGCAUUAGUUAGGUUCUCACAAGUGCACAACCUAGAUCCCUCACAUGUGCAGUUCACAGUAGGGUUCGCACUGCUAUGAGAAUCUCAGGCUGCCACUGACCUGACAGGAGGCAGAACUCAGGUGGCAAUGCUUACUGACCCACCUCUUGCUGUGCGGCCUGGUUCCUAACAGGCCAUGGACUCCCACAGACUGAUCCACAGCUUGAGGACCCCUGUCCCAGGAGCCUGCCAUUCUGAGUGAGUUAUUAGCAUGAAGAAAAGGAAGAUUUGGUCAAAUGUGGGUGGUGGUACUGAGAUACCCAAGAUAGGACAGGGAUGGAACAAAACCCAUCUGGGCAAUGGCUCUAUGAAAAUUUGCCUAAGUAAUUAUUUCAGUAUUCAUUGUAUUGUCCUUUGUGUUCCAUAAGUUAAAUGACUGUCCAGUUUUUCCAAAAAUUUAUUUCUGACUUGAAUAUAAGUGUGUCAUGAUUUUCCCAGUGUAAAGACACUGAUAUUACUGUAGACACCAGACAUUUUAUGUAGUGUCUGUGACACAUUUUGGUAUGUAUGAGCCAACAAUAGACAUGUCUUUGUCUUGAGGAGUGUCCAUCUGAAUUGAAAAUGUGUCAGCUUUUUUUUUAACAUCAUCAACAGACUUCUUAAUUAAGCUGCCAAUACAUACUGCCAAUAGCACUGUGUGCUGCCUGAGAAAUGCAUUGUGUAAGUGCUAUUUCCAUCUUAUUAAAUAAACAAUGUUGCUC